CUCAAGCGUUGUUCGGAUUCAUUGGGCGUAAAGGGUGCGUAGGCGGCGCGGUAAGUCGGGUGUGAAAUCUCGGGGCUUAACUCCGAAACUGCAUUCGAUACUGCCGUGCUUGAGGACUGGAGAGGAGACUGGAAUUUACGGUGUAGCGGUGAAAUGCGUAGAUAUCGUAAGGAAGACCAGUGGCGAAGGCGGGUCUCUGGACAGUUCCUGACGCUGAGGCACGAAGGCCAGGGGAGCAAACGGG
rnacentral:rRNA from 1 species